rnacentral:misc_RNA from 1 species
UCUAAGGAAGAUAACUAGAAAGUCGGUAUCGUAUUACAUCUUUCUUCCUCUUUUCUUUUUUUUAUCCUUUUGUAAAAUGCUGUUGCAUUUUUCUUUUUAAGUUUGUGCUUCUCAAUUUUGGAUAUUAAUUAUUAGUUUGUUGUUUGUUUUAAUGCAUAUGGAUAUCCAAUAAUGUACGGUUCUGACAUUUCGUUGUCCUACUUUUUAUGCUUCAUGGGUUUAUCAUCUGACAUUCUUUCUGUUUUUAUAUUGCUUCCAUUCUGCAUUAUUUCAGGUCAUCAAAACCAGAUUUAAACUCAAAGUUGUCAAGGAGUGCUCCAGUGCGCGUGUCUUCAAGGAAAAAGAGAGAAUUGAAAAUCAUAACAAAGUUGGUAUCUUAUUUAUAUCUUUGUCUGGCUAGUUGUAGCAUAUUUGUGGCUUAAGUUUUGUAUUCCAUUUUGUGCUAUAAUUAAUCUUUCUUCUCCUUUGUUCUAAAACCAUAUGGAAGACACGUUGAUAUAUGUUAAAUGGUGUUUUCUUGUGCAUUUGGUUGUGAUACAUUGUUAGAGAUAGCAUUUUAAGAAUUCAAAUUUGUUGAUUCAGGUCGUCAGAACCAGAAAUCAUCUUAAAAUCCUCUAAAAAUGCUUCUCUGCAUCUUUUCUCACGGAAAAGGAGGCAAAAGAAGAUAACACUGAGGACAUCAAAACCAGCAACAGUAACAAAGUCCUUGAAAAUUGCAUCAGCAGGUGUCUCUUCACAAAAUAAGUGCCAGUGGAGAAUAACAACAAAGUUGGUUCUUUAUUCCCCGUCCCUCCUCCCCCUCCCCCAGAACCUUGCCCUUUCCUCUGAUUUCUUCCUAUUGUAGCAUGAUUUAAUUAUUACUUUCUGUUUUAGAAAGUAAUCUUGUGUUUUCUACCUUAUUUUCUCAAGAGAUCAGAGGUUGCACAAAUUGGU